GAUGAACGCUGGCGGCGUGCCUAAUACAUGCAAGUCGAGCGAACGGACGAGACGCUUGCUUCUCUGAUGUUAGCGGCGGACGGGUGAGUAACACGUGGAUCACCUACCUAUAAGACUGGGAUAACUUCGGGAAACCGGAGCUAAUACCGGAUGAUAUUUUGAACCGCAUUGUUCAAAAGUGAAAGACGGUCUUGCUGUCACUUAUAGAUGGAUCCCCGCUGCAUUAGCUAGUUGUUAAGGUUACGGCUUAUCAAGGCAACGAUGCGUAGCCGACCUGAGAGGCGGGUCGGCCACCCGGGAGCGUGGACGGGGACCUGGCGCCUGCGAGACGGAGCAGACGGGAAUCUUAGGCAGUAGGGGGAAGCCUUACGGAAUAAGGGCGCGUCAGUUGUAGCGGUCUUCGGAUCGUAAAAAUCUGUUAUUAGGUAAAAACAUAUGUGUAAGUAACUGUGCACAUCUUGACGGUACCGAAUCAGAAAGCCACGGCUAACUACGUG
rnacentral:rRNA from 1 species